rnacentral:misc_RNA from 1 species
UUUCCGUAGGUGAACCUGCGGAAGGAUCAUUAUUGAAACUUGAAUCGUAGCAUUGAGAACUGUUGCUGACCUGUUAAAGGGUAUGUGCACGUUCGACGUGUUGCGUUCUAUUCAUCCACCUGUGCACCUUUGUAGACUUGAUUAACUUUCGCUCUCGAGCGGUUAGAAGGGUUGCUUUCGAGCUCCCUUUGUCUAUCAAGUCUAUGUCUAUAUAAUCUCUUGUAUGUCAAGAAUGUCUUGUUUAUGGGACGCAAGUCCUUUAAAUCUUAUACAACUUUCAACAACGGAUCUCUUGGCUCUC